rnacentral:rRNA from 1 species
GACGAACGCUGGCGGCGUGCCUAAUACAUGCAAGUUGAGCGCUGAAGGUUGGUACUUGUACCAACUGGAUGAGCAGCGAACGGGUGAGUAACGCGUGGGGAAUCUGCCUUUGAGCGGGGGACAACAUUUGGAAACGAAUGCUAAUACCGCAUAAAAACUUUAAACACAAGUUUUAAGUUUGAAAGAUGCAAUUGCAUCACUCAAAGAUGAUCCCGCGUUGUAUUAGCUAGUUGGUGAGGUAAAGGCUCACCAAGGCGAUGAUACAUAGCCGACCUGAGAGGGUGAUCGGCCACAGUGGGACUGAGACACGGCCCAAACUCCUACGGGAGGCAGCAGUAGGGAAUCUUUGGCAAGGGACGGAAGUCUGACCGAGCAACGCCGCGUGGGUGAAGAAGGUUUUCGGAUCGUAAAACUCUGUUGGUAGAGAAGAACGUUGGUGAGAGUGGAACGCUCAUCAAGUGACGGUAACUACACAGAAAGGGACGGCUAACUACGUG